GAUGAACGCUAGCGGCAGGCCUAAUACAUGCAAGUCGAACGAGAUUACGAGGCUUGCUUCUUAUGAAAGUGGCGCACGGGUGCGUAACGCGUAUGCAACCUACCUUAAUCAGGGGGAUAGCCCGCAGAAAUUCGGAUUAAGACCGCAUAAAAACACAGGAUAGCAUUAUCCAAUGUUCAAAUAUUUAUAGGAUUAAGAUGGGCAUGCGUGUCAUUAGCUAGUUGGCGGGGUAACGGCCCACCAAGGCGACGAUGACUAGGGGAUCUGAGAGGAUGACCCCCCACACUGGUACUGGGACACGGACCAGACUCCUACGGGAGGCAGCAGUAAGGAAUAUGGGUCAAGGGAGGGAACUCUGAACCAGCCAUGCCGCGUGCAGGAAGACAGCCCUCUGGGUCGUAAACUGCUUUUAUUCGGGAAUAAACCUUUCUACGUGUAGGAAGCUGAAUGUACCGAAGGAAUAAGGAUCGGCUAACUCCGUG
rnacentral:rRNA from 1 species